rnacentral:rRNA from 1 species
GGCAGUGCUCGCAAGAGAACCGGAACACAGGUGCUGCAUGGCUGUCGUCAGCUCGUGUCGUGAGAUGUUGGGUUAAGUCCCGCAACGAGCGCAACCCUUGUCAUUAGUUGCUACGCAAGAGCACUCUAAUGAGACUGCCGGUGACAAACCGGAGGAAGGUGGGGAUGACGUCAAGUCCUCAUGGCCCUUAUGGGUAGGGCUUCACACGUCAUACAAUGGUCGGGACAGAGGGUCGCCAACCCGCGAGGGGGAGCCAAUCUCAGAAACCCGAUCGUAGUCCGGAUCGCAGUCUGCAACUCGACUGCGUGAAGUCGGAAUCGCUAGUAAUCGCGGAUCAGAAUGUCGCGGUGAAUACGUUCCCGGGUCUUGUACACACCGCCCGUCACACCAUGGGAGUGGGUUUCACCAGAAGUAGGUAGCCUAACCGUAAGGAGGGCGCUUACCACGGUGGGAUUCAUGACUGGGGUGAAGUCGUAACAAGGUAACCG